rnacentral:rRNA from 1 species
GUAGGUGGCAAGCGUUGUCCGGAAUUAUUGGGCGUAAAGCGCGCGCAGGCGGUUUCUUUAAGUCUGAUGUGAAAGCCCACGGCUCAACCGUGGAGGGUCAUUGGAAACUGGAGAACUUGAGUACAGAAGAGGAAAGCGGAAUUCCACGUGUAGCGGUGAAAUGCGUAGAGAUGUGGAGGAACACCAGUGGCGAAGGCGGCUUUCUGGUCUGUAACUGACGCUGAGGCGCGAAAGCGUGGGGGAGCAAACAGGAUUAGAUACCCUGGUAGUCCACGCCGUAAACGAUGAGUGCUAAGUGUUAGGGGGUUUUCCGCCCCCUUAGUGCUGCAGCUAACGCAUUAAGCACUCCGCCUGGGAGUACGGCCGCAAGGCUG